CCUACGGGGCGCAGCAGUGAGGAAUAUUGGUCAAUGGCCGGAAGGCUGAACCAGCCAUGCCGCGUGAAGGUCAGUGCCCUAUGGGCGUUAAACUUCUUUUGUGCGGGAGCAAUAAUGGUCACGUGUGGCCAGACGAGAGUACCGUACGAAUAAGCAUCGGCUAACUCCGUGCCAGCAGCCGCGGUAAUACGGGGGAUGCAAGCGUUAUCCGGAUUUAUUGGGUUUAAAGGGUGCGUAGGCUGUGAGGUAAGUCAGCGGUGAAAUGCCCCCGCGCAACGGGGUGAAGUGCCAUUGAUACUGCCUUGCUGGAAUGCGGAUGCGGUGGGAGGAAUGUGUGGUGUAGCGGUGAAAUGCAUAGAUAUCACACAGAACACCGAUUGCGAAGGCAGCUCACGAAUCCGCGAUUGACGCUGAUGCACGAAAGCGUGGGUAUCAAACAGGAUUAGAUACCCGGGUAGUC
rnacentral:rRNA from 1 species